AUUGAACGCUGGCGGCAUGCUUUACACAUGCAAGUCGAACGGUAACAGGGACUUCGGUCUGCUGACGAGUGGCGUACGGGUGAGUAACAUAUCGGAACGUGCCCAGUAAUGGGGGAUAGCUCGGCGAAAGCCGGAUUAAUACCGCAUACGCCCUGAGGGGGAAAGUGGGGGAUCUUCGGACCUCACGUUAUUGGAGCGGCCGAUAUCGGAUUAGCUAGUUGGUGGGGCAAAGGCCUACCAAGGCGACGAUCCGUAGCUGGUCUGAGAGGAUGAUCAGCCACACUGGGACUGAGACACGGCCCAGACUCCUACGGGAGGCAGCAGUGGGGAAUUUUGGACAAUGGGCGAAAGCCUGAUCCAGCCAUGCCGCGUGAGUGAUGAAGGUCUUCGGAUCGUAAAGCUCUGUGGGGGGAGAAGAAGAAAGCCGGUGAAGAGCCGGCCUGACGGUAUCCCCUUAGCAAGCACCGGCUAACUCCGUGCCAGCAGCCGCGGUAAAG
rnacentral:rRNA from 1 species